ACGGAAGGCAGCAGUGGGGAAUAUUGCACAAUGGGCGCAAGCCUGAUGCAGCGAUGCCGCGUGAGGGAAGAAGGUUUUCGGAUUGUAAACCUCUGUCAACAGGGACGAAAAUGACGGUACCUGUGAAGGAAGCUCCGGCUAACUACGUGCCAGCAGCCGCGGUAAUACGUAGGGAGCAAGCGUUAUCCGGAAUUACUGGGUGUAAAGGGAGUGUAGGCGGGACUGUAAGUCAGAUGUGAAAUAUGCCGGCUCAACUGGCAGACUGCAUUUGAAACUGCGGUUCUUGAGUGAAGUAGAGGUAAGCGGAAUUCCUAGUGUAGCGGUGAAAUGCGUAGAUAUUAGGAGGAACAUCAGUGGCGAAGGCGGCUUACUGGGCUUUAACUGUCGCUGAGGCUCGAAAGCGUGG
rnacentral:rRNA from 1 species